CUAUUUGAAAACCCCCAAACCCUAGCAAUUAACUGUGGGGCAUAUUAGACUGAAUUACACAUGUAGGUGUCUGGGACCUGGAUCUCCUGAACCUUCCCAUUCAGCAGACAUACCAUGGUAGGUUGGGUUUGUUGCUGUAUUUUUUGCUGUUUGUUGGCUGCCUGUUGCUGUCAGUGAACAAUACUGGUGUUUGGGGAGACUUGUCCUGAAUCAAGAUGUCAUUUUCUUGUGGAAAAAUUCAAGUACACCCAUGUAACCCCUGGUUAAUUAUCUGUUCAGGUCCUUUGCCAUUACCAUCUGCACACAUCCUAAAAAACACUAUUCUAGAAACUGUGCAUGGGAACUUGGGUACAGUGAUUUCCAUGGCGCAAAUGAGAAAUUUAUUUAAGCUUUUUUUUUUAUGUGUGAGAAAUAAUAAGAAAACAUGAGGAAUAUGACUAUAUCAUCUUCCUGGGAUUCCUCAGAACAUGGUUGAAUCCCCUCAUACACGUACAUGUACAAAUAAGUGGCUGUGCUGUUCUCAGUAGCUGAGUGGCUGUUAGCACAUUGCUUUAUUGCAGUGCUCUAGAGAGCAUCUCCUUUCACAUAGAUACCUUCUAUUGUUAAAAAAUUACUCUGACCUUUCUUUUAUACUGGCCCUGAGAGAGAAUUAAUCAUGCUGAAACAGUGUGGGGGGGAAAUAUGAACAAAGAAGUUAAAGGGAAAUUGCUUUGAUUAACAGAAAAUGACUUAAUGAAUCCUUGGCAGCCUGGCCAGAAAUAACGUUCCUUUAGCAGCAAUUUGAAAAGCUGGGUUUUAAAUUGUGUGAGUGAUUCACUGCGCUUGGCACUGGGAGCCAGGAUUCUGUCAUAAGAGCUUGGUGCUCACCUGGAGUUCCAUCAGGCAAGAGCUGCCCUGCACAUAGCUCUGCUCUUAAUCCUGGAAAUGGGACAACACAGGGCUGGUCCUGCUGCAGCCUUUGGCAUCAGGGGGCCUGAUAAAAGCACACCUGGGUGGGAGAAGGGGUGGGAUUUUUUUUUGUUCUGAGGGAGCAGUGGAGAGCUGCUUUUUAAUGGAAAUAUAAUGAUCAGGUCCAAGAGCUCUUGAUGGCACAUUUCCACCUUCAUUAGUUCUGCUCGGUGUAACUGUUGAAGAGCUCAGCAUAAAAAAUUAUCAUCUUUCAUAUGAUGGAGACAACUUUUUAGCAGGGCCUAUUACCAUAGGGCAAGGGGUAAUGGUUUUGAACUAAAGGCAGAUUUAGACUAGACAUAAUGAAGAACUCAUUUGCAAUGAGCAUGGUGAAACAGUGGCACAGGUUGCCCAGAGAGCUGGUGGAUGUUCCCUCCCUGCAAACAUUUCAGGGCAGGUUGAACAGGGCUCCGAGCCACCUGAUCUAGUUGAAGAUGUCCUUGCUCACUGCAGAAGGCUAGACUAGAUGACCUUUAAAUGUCCUUUCCAACCCAAACUGUUCUAUGAGUCUAUGAAAUGCCAGAAAGUGGCUCUGAGUGUCAGCAGUGCUGUGUAAGGGACAGGCACUGCCCUUCUGAGUGACACUUAUGAACUUGCACCUUCCUGCUGGGUACAUGACCCCACCAAGCAGACAGUGUGCCCUGGGCAACAGCCAGCCAGGAACAGAUUGAACAAAGGGGGAAAGGAGUGGCAACCAAUUGAAAUGUGGAGUUCAACCCUACACAAAGUGUUAAAAAAACUUUUAAAGGAAAGGACUGUGAAAAUAUUUCAUUCUCAUCUACCUGCACAACUAAGAAGAGGCAGAGAAAAGACAAGGAAGGAAGGAAGGAAGGUACAAAAGCAAAGCACCAUCACCUGCUGUGAAACACCCUGAGGCCUCCGGGAGCUGACACUGUCUGCUUGGGGAGAGCCCCCUGAUCCUGCACCCCUGGACUGAAGCCAGAGUGAAUUGUGGAACCCCCACCCUGCUCCCGUGAGUGCACUGAGGACCGGCCGCAGCGACCGGGCACCGCGCCGGCAUCUCGGAGGAUGGGCUGCCACAUCCCAGCCAAACUGCCCAGAGAUCAGGGCAGGCAGAGGUCAGCAAUCAGCGCUGUUCCACCGGGCAGAGAGUGAAUCGUGCCAGCAAACCGGUGACACAUCCCCAAGGUUCCACGGGCCACUGAGCAUCCGGGCGAGGCGCCGGCACUGUUACCUUGUGCCGGAUGGGAGGAAUUGCGUGAGGACAAAGUUUUAUAGGAGGGCUGAUAUAACAAUAUGGGACAGAAGGGUGAGGGAGCAGCUCCAGGGAGGAGGCAGGCAGGCCGGGAGGGAUUGUGUGCCGGCUGCUGGAGGUGCUGUUGUGUAGCGCAUCCUGCGCCCGCCGAGCCCCGCGCAGCGCCGGCUCUGCUGCGAGGACAGAAAAAUGAACAAGGGAGGUCACAGCCGCUUUUACUAUUAAACGAGAAUUUAGCUCGUGCGGUGCUAAGCCUCUGGUCUCCAGGCCCAGCACAGCCAAUCUGCUUUUAUUGUUUUGCAGGACUCCUCUGCAACCGAACGAUGACAAAUACCAGGAAUUAGCGCAAUGUAAUUACUCCAUAUUAGCUGAAUUCACAGUAUAGACACAGAUCAUAAACAGCCAUUGAUUAUUCCUAAUUUCACAUUUUUACCAUUCUGAAUUGCAGCAAUUAUGCCUGUCUGAAGGAAUUAGCUUCUCUUUCAACCCUGCAGGUUCCCAGUCACUGCCCUUCCUUUCAGAGACGUUUUUUCUUACUGCUGAAAAAAAGGACAUUCAACACAAAUCCCUCCCUACUUCUAAAAUAGAAUGUUCUUCCCUUCCCCCCUCUCCUCAGUCCCCAAAUUGCUCUGACUUUGCAGCCCAGAGGUUGC